AAGGCCUGAUACCUAUAUUAUAUACAGAUAAGUUUCAUCAAAUAAUUCGAAUGGAAUAAUGCACCUGUAUGCCUAUUAGUCCACAUUUAAUAUUAACAUUUUCUCACUAAUGUUUAUAUAUAAAAAAGAAGAUCUGGUAUGAUUGCCAAUGAGACAACUCUUUACAAUAGACUAAAAUGACACAGAAAUUAACAACUACAGGUCACCGAACAGCCUUCAACAAUGAGCAAAACCCAUACUGCAUAGUGGGCUCUAAACGGCCCAGGAAUGACAAUGUAAAACAAUUUAAACGAGAAAACUUACUAUGUAACUAUGUAUAAAAAGAAGAAACGAAAAACAAAC
rnacentral:lncRNA from 1 species